rnacentral:rRNA from 1 species
CGGCAACAGCUCAAAUUUGAAAUCUGGCCUCUCGGGGUCCGAGUUGUAAUUUGUAGAGGAUGUUUUGGGUACCGCCCCGGUCUAAAUUUCUUGGAACAGAAUGUCAUAGAGGGUGAGAAUCCCGU